CCCACCUGCUGACAUUUCUUCACUUUUCAGACAGCACCAGUUGCCCUUGAAGCAGAAAACAGAGGUGACAUGAAACUAGCUCUCCAGUAUGUCCCAGAGCCAGUCCCUGGUAAAAAGCUUCCUACAACUGGAGAAGUGCACAUCUGGGUGAAGGAAUGCCUUGAUCUACCACUGCUAAGGGGAAGUCAUCUAAAUUCUUUUGUUAAAUGUACCAUCCUUCCAGAUACAAGUAGGAAAAGUCGCCAGAAGACAAGAGCUGUAGGGAAAACCACCAACCCUAUCUUCAACCACACUAUGGUGUAUGAUGGGUUCAGGCCUGAAGAUCUGAUGGAAGCCUGUGUAGAGCUUACUGUCUGGGACCAUUACAAAUUAACCAACCAAUUUUUGGGAGGUCUUCGGAUUGGCUUUGGAACAGGUAAAAGUUAUGGGACUGAAGUGGACUGGAUGGACUCUACUUCAGAGGAAGUUGCUCUCUGGGAGAAGAUGGUAAACUCCCCCAAUACUUGGAUUGAAGCAACACUGCCUCUCAGAAUGCUUUUGAUUGCCAAGAUUUCCAAAUGAGCCCAAAUUCCACUGGCUCCUCCACUGAAAACUACUAAACCGGUGGAAUCUGAUCUUGAAAAUCUCAGUAGGUGGACAAAUGUCCUCACUUUCUAUCCAUUGCACCUAAGGAAUACUACACAGCAUGUAAAAGUCAAUCUGCAUGUGCUUCUUUGAUUACAAGGCCCAAGGGAUUUAAAUAAUAACAAAAUGUGUAAUUUGUGACUCUAACAUUAAAUAAGAUAUUGGAACAAGCUAGGAAAACUGAAUUUCUGCUGCUGCUUCAAAGAAAAAACUGCCCCAGAGCAUUAAACAUGGGGUAUUGUUAACAAGCAAAAUGUUCUUGUUUGCCAUCAUGUGUUUCACACCACAAUUCUGUGCCACAGUUAAGAGGGUCUGGUAC
rnacentral:sRNA from 1 species